UCCCACAUACAGAAAUCAGUAAU
rnacentral:snRNA from 1 species